AUCACAACCUGAGCCGAAAUCAGGAGUCGGCUGCUUAACCUUAAGACUGAACCACCCAGGCGCCUCUGUUGAUGUCUUUCUUGAUACAUCUAUGAUAGAAAUUUCACUGGGAUGCCAAGCACUGAUAGAACAAUUGUCGUGGCUCCAGAUGGCAUUACCCUCGGGUACAGGAGGCUUACCGCUUUCUCUGGGAAGCAGCUAGAAUUUAGGCAGGUGAGCUAAUCCAAUAUGGAGCUGAGCUCACUCAGCUGGGGUCCACGUCUCGUUAACCAGGCUAGUGACCACGUCUGCUUUGACAACACUUCUGCGGUCUGGCGCUCCAGGGUUCUAGAUCGAGAGGCUGGAGUUUCCCUGGGCUGUUUCUUGUUGGCAUGCCUUGAAUUCUAGAUUUCGUCUCCAGGGCCUUGAGACAGAAGUACACCCGUCUCCUGCAACCGCUAACCCACAGAAGCAAUCCAGCUACCCUGCAGAAACACUACCUUGAGGGUGGUGUGCCUCUUCCUUUCCACGCAUCCACAGAAAUCCUAGAGUUCCUUGAACCGUACCCUGAAAACACAUCUAUCGCACACGCAAAGAGACUGGAAUAUGGGGAGCAGGAGUUCUCUCGGAGUCUCAGAGCAGUGAGAGCUGAACUUGGAGCCAGCCCGCCUUUCUGGCCCCGCCAGGCCUGUGCCGUGGGCUCUGGGGGGCUCUCAGGGAAGGAGGGAUGUGCCGGACGCUCACACCAGGACUCGGUCCGGCCUCAGACACAGACUCUACGAUCCCAGGCCCAGGAUCUGCCGUAAGUUCUCAUCAGACACCCUGCAUAGGUUGUAGAGGUCAGACUUCGGAGAGGCUGCCUUUGGACCACCUCUGUCUUGUCUGGGGCCGGGGCAAGGGGCUCUAGAACCUUGCAGCAUGCCCCAGAUUAUCUGUGUUUUCUGGAUCCUUCUGGCUGGGACGAACGCCAAGGAUGUGCACUCAGAAAAAGAUUCGCCUUUCCGCCCUCCA